CACUUUCCGGACCAUCGUCGAAAACCAAUAAGUGACUAAGCAUGUAGAAAGCAUAUGGAUUCCGUGUUUGGACCAGGGUUCGAUUCCCUGCUGCUCCACCG
rnacentral:tmRNA from 1 species